GAGCCGAAGGGAUGUUCCCGUACUAAAAAAAGAAACAGAGCCCCUUUUCUCCCCCACCCGCGUCCACCUUCUUCCUCCACCCGCUUCCACCACCGAGCCGCGCCGCACCCGCCCUGAAACCGGCCGUUGCGCCACCUUCGACCCUUGAUCCGGCCGCCGCGCCAUCUCCGACCCCCGAUCCGGCCACCGCGCCGCUUUCUACCACCGGAUCCUCCCGCGGACCCACCUUCUCCCCCUGGAUCCGCCUCCGGCGGCCCCUCCUCCCCUGGAUCCGCCCGCGGCGCUAACCGCCCAUGCCCCGCCCCGCCCUGGACCCACUCACCUCCCACCGCCGGUGUCGCGCCGCCCCGAACCUCCCCAUCGCCUGUGCCGUGCCGCCCCGAACCUCCCCGUCGCCGGUGUCGUGCCGUGGCCCGAACCUCCCCGCUGUCGGUGCCCCGCCCCCCCCCCCUCUCCCACACCGGCAGGGACCCCCGCCACCGGUGCCCUCUUCACCGCCGGCCCCGUCAACACCAGGCGCCGGAACGUCCUCAACAGCGACGAGAUCGACCGCCUCCCGAGUCGCGCGCCCCCGCGUUCCCUUCCGGCGACCGGCCCACCCCCCAACUUCUUCUGAACUUCUCCAACUUCCUCCCUAGUCUAGAGCUUUAAGUCCAGGCCCCUACAGCAAAAAAUCAGCGUCCACUCCUAUGGAAAUUCUUCUCCAAAAUCUUCCGGCGAUGUGGGCAUCCAGUCGCGGAGAGAUGUGCGGAGCGCUGCAUUCCGUCGUCGUCGACCCCGUGGCCGUGGGCAACCAGGCAGCUGAUGUAGAUACAUCCUGAGCGGUAGUGCUAUUCUACUGUCCACAUUGCAGAUAUAUGGUUGGUGAUUUGUCACUUGUUAAAUUACAUGAUGAGAUGACAUGAGCUGUGGAAAAGGAGCGAGCAGGACAUAAUAAAGAUGAUGUCCUGACUUCAUUUUUGGGACGGUUCGAAAUGUGUUUGGGUCAAUUUCUUCUUUAUUUUCUGGGUCACUAUCUUGUUCUUGCUCAUUUUGUUGAAAGAUGGUCUUGUGUUCUGUGAAGAUGUGAACAAAAAUAUGUAUUCACAACAAAGAACACAAAGAUGUUGUGGUAAUGUAAAGUCCGCCCCAGCAUCUGUAGUUUUCCAGAUUGCUAUGAAUAUUUUGUAAUCUUAACGGUGGCUUUGAUGCAAUUUAUUUCUGUAGAUGUAUAAAACAUGUUCGAUUCAUGGUGAACAAAAACAUGUUGCUGAA